rnacentral:tRNA from 1 species
CGCGAGUACGCGGUGAGCACCAGGCUGUUAACCGGUAGAUUCCAGGUUCGAAUCCUGGUCGCGG